AGUGCUUCUGGUCGUCCGUCGUCGCUAUCGAUUUUGCAUAAAAGUCCUUCAGUUUAUUCGAAUUCAACCCGCAGUCCCUGUUUAAGUGGAUCUGGAAAAACGCUUUAAUUUUGCACAAAGGACCCUAUGUUUUGGUAUAUUCAAAACGCGGUCCUUUUUACAUGGGCGGCGCGACUGGAGCUUGCAGGGGGCGGAUCCGCGCACGGCGGGGGCUUGGAGGCGGAUCCGGAGGUGGGCGGCGACGCGGGGGGCGAGGAAGGCCGGAGCGCGGCUUCCCGGGCGGAUCCAUGGCAGAGAAGAGACUGGGUGGUGAGGUUGAGAAGAAGGGAGAAAAGUGGGGCGGUGCGGCGACCCACGCAGGAGCUCGCCGGAGCCGGGUGACGAUGGACGGGCGCGGGAGACAGAAGGAUCCGGCGCGGCGGCGCGCACUCCUUGUAGUUGGAGGCGGGCCUUCAUGGCCGCGGCGCCCCUCCCCCCGCGACAGCUCAGGCAGCGGUCAGAUCCGCCCUCCCUCCCUCCCUCACUCCUCGCACUGGAAGACCUAGCCGCUGGGCCAUGGUGACCGACGGCGAUGAUGACGGUGGUGGCUACCUCGACGAUGGAUAAAAUCCGCUCCGCCCCUCCUCUUAUCCGUCGACGACCGCUUGAAUCCCGAGAGGAGAGGAGAGGAGUGGGAGAUCCAUGGCGGCGGAAAGAUCCGCGCCUGGAUCGGACCUGCUCGUCAAGGAGACCCACGCCAUGGAGCUGCUCGUCAAUGUUCCACCCUGGCACACAUCCAACAUCGCCAUGGACCAGUAGCUCAAGCCGUCUUCUUCCAGAUGGUGAUGGGGUUCCCUCACCAUCUGCAGGUCAUCAUCCUUAAGGGCUCCACCAUCUGCAGUGUCUACAGUGGACUAUUUGCAUCUUCAGUGCAAAUACCUGAUUGUAUAUGGAUGGAUUGUAGGGUCUAACCACCUUGAUUUGAUUCGGGCUGGAGCAGCAGCAGCAGGUCCUUCCUUCCAUGGAGGGCAUCCACAACAUGACCCGCACAAGGAGCUCCAAGCAGACAAAGGUACCUGCUCCAUUGUUGUACAUGUUCGUGAGUUCUUUGUGAUGAUGAAACCACUGAUUGGAUGUCCUGAUUAGAUACAAUCCAUUCCAUUGAACUGUGGGGACAACAUGAGGCACAUGUCUCUGAUUUGUUGUUACUUUGGUUGACAAUAUGUACUGUGCAUGCGUGUGUGUGUUGAUAAGUAGCAGAUUUGCUUGGCCGCCUGUGACACUCAUGCCAAAUCCUUGACAUUUCUGGGGUUAUACAACCAUCAUGUUUUCUAAGGUUUUGUUUUCCCGCCUCCAUCUCUUCCAUGGCAAGCAGCACAGGUUUCUUUGUUUGUAAAUUAAGCAGUCUGGUAGAUUUGGAAAGGAGGAACAGGGUACUGAACUUUUAUAUAUCUGCACAAGGUACCUUUCAAUUAAUAAGAUUUGUUUUUCUGUUCUGAAUAGGGUACUGAGCCUGAUAAUUGUACCUUUCUAUUCUGAAUUGCAUAUUUGUAGGAAUACUAUGUUAUGUAAGAACAUGGCGGUGCAGUCACCCGAGGUGAAGAAGCUCUGUCACCUACCUCUACAUCCUCCACUAGGCUGACAAGCACAACUGCUAACAAGUAUGCUAAUCCACCCUCAUCUGCAUCGCUUCCUCCUAGCCUGUGAUUUAUGACAUGGAGCAUGUUGUUCUGUUAUCAUAUACACGAAUCUGUCCAUGCUUAAAUGUGGUCAUAGGUUGUGGAAUAGGAGAAACAAUAUAAUGUUCUUUAGCAGAUGCAAACCUGUCCAUGCCUUAUUUGGACCAAUAAUUACUGGUGUUGCCUAUUUGAUAUGUAAACAUAUUUUUUUGGAUGUCUCAGAAAAAUGCCAUGCUACUACAUAAGUUUGAAUCAAACAAAUUAAAUUUGUAAUAAGAUCCCUGAAAGUAAUUAAGUGCUUCUUGAAUGCAUGGAAACAACAAGUUAGAUAUCUCAGAGGUACUAUGUCAUAUAUUCUGAAAGUGGCGCACAUGGAUAUGUAUUCUUGGUUAGCUUUAUGUUCCAUUUCUGUUGUACAUGCUCCAAGAGUUAAUGUGUUAUUCUGAAAGGAUAUGAAGUGAAUUGUCUUCUACUGCAAUCAAUGGGCAUUUCGUUCUACACAUAUGUCCUGAUGUUGUAGUGCCACUUGAUUUCCUUUAAAAUUUCAGUAACAAUUGAGCAAUAUUGGCCUUCCCUUUUUCCUGUAUUAAGUACUAUUCAUGGAGUCAAAGCUCAUGGAGAUGGUCUGUUACUGAUUGCUGCAUCUAUAGAGCUCACUAAUAAAAUAUCUGCUGGUUCAUCUAACUUAUUUGAUCUAUAUGUUUUUGUUUACCUGCAACACGAAGAGAAAAACAUGCUCAAUUAGUUCAUAAAUUUUAAAAUUGUGCAUUUUGUAUAAUUUCUGCUGGUUCCAGUCACAGCAUGCCAGCAUCUAAUCCUUGCAGCAACACCAGGAGUAGACUUUGGAUAUUUUUCUAUACAUUUGACAUUAAAGUUAUACCAACUUGCAUCCAUCGAUCACUAGCUAUUACAUGCAGUAGGUAAUUAUCUGAUGUCAAUGCAACAUCCAAAUCAUUGAAAUACGACCUCUUAUUCUACACAGUUCUUUAUGCUUUGACAAAUCACAAAGUAGAAAUCGAUUUUAAGAUAAUCUAUAAUUAUAAUAAAACCAGGGAUUGCUUUUCUGAAAGAAAAACAAGGGAUUGUUAAUAUGUUUAAAUAUGAAGAUUUGCAGUACUGUAGGUCCUUACCUCUUCUUUUCCAAAGUAGAUAGGACAAAAAAAAUAUGUCCCCACUAAUCGGUACGUGCAGCAGUGAGGAACCGAGCAAAAGGGGAGCUUGGCUUCCAAUGGGGUGAUGGACAGAUUGUAGGUGGGUGCUUGCCUCAUAUCUUCAAUGUGAGAAUAUUGAUUUCUCUUCUACUCCCUCUGUUUCUAAAUAUAAGUCGUUCUAGGGAUUUCAAUACAAACUACAUACGGAUGUAUAUAGACUAUGUUAGAGUGUAGGUUCACUCAUUUUGCUCCGUAUGUAUGUAGUGGAAUCUGUAGAAAGACUUAUAUUUAGGAAUAGAGGGAAUAUCGGUUAGUAAGCAUUUUCCAAACUGUACGAAAAAAAUGUUCAGGAGUUAAACUACUUUUCUUACUAUUCA